rnacentral:rRNA from 1 species
ACGAACGCUGGCGGCACGCUUAACACAUGCAAGUCGAACGGCAGCGGGUCCUUCGGGAUGCCGGCGAGUGGCGAACGGGUGAGUAAUACGUGGAAACCUAUCCUGAGGUGGGGGAUAACAGCUGGAAACGGCUGCUAAUACCGCAUAAGCCCUAAGGGGGAAAGAUUUAUCGCCUUAGGAGGGGUCCACGUCGGAUUAGCUAGUUGGUAGGGUAAAGGCCUACCAAGGCGACGAUCCGUAGCUGGUCUGAGAGGAUGGACAGCCACACUGGGACUGAGACACGGCCCAGACUCCUACGGGAGGCAGCAGUGGGGAAUAUUGCGCAAUGGGGGAAACCCUGACGCAGCGAUGCCGCGUGGGUGAAGAAGGCCUUCGGGUUGUAAAGCCCUUUCAGUGGGGAAGAUAGUGACGGUACCCACAGAAGAAGCUCCGGCUAACUCCGU